rnacentral:miRNA from 1 species
AAUUGCACUGUUCCCGGCCUGC